rnacentral:misc_RNA from 1 species
GGAUUGGUCUUAUAGGUCUAGUCACAUUCCUUGAAUUUUGUUUUAAUUUAUUAUUUCUUUUUUUUUCCCUUCUCCUUACUAUUAAUUUUUGUCAAUUUACCAACAUGAACAACCUUUGGAGUUUGGAUAAAAUCCUAGAAAUAUAUGUUGAUUCUUAGUUGUUAAAGUUUGCUGAUGAUUACUGAACUCCUAAUUAAAACAUUAGCAUAAUACAACAUCUUCUUUAAAGCUUCUAAUACUAUGGAACUAGUAGUCACGACCUUGUUGCAUAGGUUUUGAUGCAUCACACUUCGGUUCUGCAGGGAGGUCUUGGGUGUUAUAUAUAUAGGUUUGCAAACAUACCCUUAUGAGCUAACUUUCCAGGUGGAGUUAGGCAGGUUCGUAU